GCUUGACUGUAUCCUGGAAUUGGGUUCGGGCUUUCUUGCGCAGCUAGGUGGGAGGCAUUGAAGAUUCUUUCCGGGGAGUUGGAGCCAUCAUUGAGAGACCACUCUGGAGAGGCUAGAAUCUAAUGGUGAUCCUUGAAUCAGGUUAAUGACAGUUUCAGGUGGGCAGUUUUUCUGGGCGGAAACCUCAUAAAAGGUAACUGAGGCGCGCAAAGGUUCCCUCAGUCUGGACGGAAAUCAGACAACGAGUGUAAAGGCAAAAGGGAGCUUGACUGCAAGACCCACAAGUCGAGCAGGAGCGAAAGCUGGCCUUAGUGAUCCGACGGUGCCGUGUGGAAGGGCCGUCGCUCAACGAAUAAAAGUUA
rnacentral:rRNA from 1 species